rnacentral:sRNA from 1 species
CACAAAGGAAUAUGCGGUCAGAAGUGAGGAAAUUACCCACGCGGUCUUUCCUCAGCACAGAGGGAGACCUUCCCAGUCGAAGUGCUCGAUCAAGCGUUCCGAGUUGUCUUCGGGCGAUGUGAAUAACUUCAUUACCGGCUGGCAAACAUAGAGAGGAAAAUGCGGCUUGAUGUUGACUAAAAUUACUACGAGCUAUGUAUAUCUUGAUAAACGGAUCGGGUCCUCAGAACCAGGACGGAAUAAAAAUGUUCUCCAAUUCUACCGGUCAUCCUGUUUUUCCCCCCUCCUAGCACUUGUGCGUCGAUUCUUGGAUAUUCCCUGAGACCUAGCCGAUAAUACGGACUUUGAAUUGGCUGCAGUGGCUUGCUUUGGUCUUCGUUUGGAUACAGCCCUAGGCGAUUUGAUAGACGCCGUCUCACCUGGGAUUUCAGUUUCCCUAGGCUCCGGUGGUUGCUGUUGUUGUAGUCGUUUGCUUCUACGUAGAGGUGUGCUAGCAGGUUUAGAGAGUGUUCUAGUUGCAUCUGGUCCCGGUAACGACGGUCCACCAGAGGCUACCUCUGCGGAUGGAUUCGGUGGUUGCCGACGUCCACGUCGUCUCUCUGGGGAAGACUUUGAUACCCCUGAUGAAUGUACCGGGCCUAGAAAACUUUCGUUGAGUGGUGGUUGUCUAUCUUCGCUAGAAAAUCUUUGUCCGCCAGAUCGUUCCAUCCGCCCCGUCACGGGAGAAACAUCCUCUCCUCGUUGUCUCCCGGAAGGUGGGUUCGAUUCCAGGGAAUCCUCGGCGUCACCGUUAGCGAAUCUGACCGAGUUAUCCGGAGAAUGUCCUCGCUGAGGUGUGCUCACUACACCAGAUGCUUGGCGAGCAUCUGUUUCAUCGGGAGGAAUGGGGUCAAAAAGACGUGGCAGAGGUGCUUCUCCAGCAUUGUGGGAGUCAUUCCCAAGGGAGUUCACCUG